CCUGCCUGGAUGCCUGCUGCCACUGCAGUGUCUCUAACAGCAUUUCCUCCGGCGCUCUCAGCACUUCCUAAACCAUGCUCUACAGAGGAGAUUCCUUCCAACUUAAGGACUUCUUUGAACCAAGCAUGAGUUCUCCUUCCAUUAAACAUAAGUAGUACGUAAAACCCAUGUACCAGCAUGGGGAAGGGAUUAAGAAAAUAUGUUGUGUUUGCUUUGUGGAUCCAAAAGUGGACACCUUUAACUCUUUGAUACACCAAGAUUCCAAAUGGUUGGAAGGAAAGGAAAGAUAAACCGGCCUCGUCACUAGCAAGCAGCAGGAAGGCCUUCUUUAUGGUGUGGCUCAACAACCCUCCUGAGGUUGAUGGGAAACUCUUGAAUAUGUUCUACAUGGCGGCUUUUAUUGUCCUCUCCAUAAAGGUAAGCCUGCCUCUACCUGGAAGCUUCCCAGAUGUUUUUGUCCAACACAUUUCAACAUCUCUUUAGAUUUAGAGAUAAGCAAGGGAGAAAAGGUGGAGGAAGAGGAGGUAACUCAUACUGCAUUAUUGGGCCAAUUGUCCAGAGCGAAUCCUCCUGCUGGAGCACCCAUUCUCAGGCAGAGAGUACCAGCAGGGGUCACGUGCACCCAUGGAACCCGACAGUGGUCUUGGACCCUGAGUCCAGCUGGUCCUAGAGACAACCUUGGACUUCUGCCAAGCAAUAUCACUGUAAGGUAUUUAAAAUUGAA